rnacentral:ribozyme from 1 species
UGCCCAGCAACUCCUAUCCCUACCUCCACGUGGUACCGGCCGGAAGAUCGGGUAACCAACCGCGGUGGGAACUUUGGUCGUAUGCUGACAGGGAAGA